rnacentral:rRNA from 1 species
GACGAACGCUGGCGGCGUGCUUAACACAUGCAAGUCGAACGGAAAGGCCCUGCUUUUGUGGGGUGCUCGAGUGGCGAACGGGUGAGUAACACAUGAGUAACCUGCCCUUGACUUUGGGAUAACUUCAGGAAACUGGGGCUAAUACCGGAUAGGAGCUCCUGCUGCAUGGUGGGGGUUGGAAAGUUUCGGCGGUUGGGGAUGGACUCGCGGCUUAUCAGCUUGUUGGUGGGGUAGUGGCUUACCAAGGCUUUGACGGGUAGCCGGCCUGAGAGGGUGACCGGCCACAUUGGGACUGAGAUACGGCCCAGAAGCCUACGGGAGGCAGCAGUGGGGAAUAUUGCACAAUGGGCGGAAGCCUGAUGCAGCAACGCCGCGUGCGGGAUGACGGCCUUCGGGUUGUAAACCGCUUUCGCCUGUGACGAAGCGUGAGUGACGGUAAUGGGUAAAGAAGCACCGGCUAACUACGUG